UAUUCUCUCUGUUCAAACUCCAUUUACACAAAGACAUUAGACUUGAAAGUGAAAUUUGGCCAGAAAGGAGUCAUACAUGUUUACUCCAUGAAAGAAAAAUAUGUGAAAC